rnacentral:rRNA from 1 species
UGGGGAAUCUUGCACAAUGGGGGAAACCCUGAUGCAGCGACGCCGCGUGAACGAUGAAGCCCUUCGGGGUGUAAAGUUCUUUCGACAGGAACGAUAAUGACGGUACCUGGAGAAGAAGCUGCGGCUAACUACGUGCCAGCAGCCGCGGUAAUACGUAGGCAGCGAGCGUUGUUCGGAGUUACUGGGCGUAAAGAGUGCGUAGGCGGCGAGCCAAGUUUGGUGUGAAAUCUCCCGGCUUAACCGGGAGGGUGCGCCGAAAACUGGUUGGCUGGAGUAUGGGAGAGGAAAGCGGAAUUCCUGGUGUAGCGGUGAAAUGCGUAGAUAUCAGGAGGAACACCUGUGGUGUAGACAGCUUUCUUGACCAAAACUGACGCUGAGGCACGAAAGCGUGGGUAGCAAACA